AGUUUAUACUUAGUUGAAACUUGAAUAAAGUUUAUAAUUAGUUUAUAUAUCAAGGUAUCUUCAAAGAAUAUUUUUUUAUAAAAAUUUACCAAGUCUCUUAUGUCAUAAUUAGUUGAAUUUUAAUUGUUCCAAGUUGAGUUUAUAUAUGCCCUCUAGCUUAAACCCUAGGGAUUGGCUCAAGUUGUAAAGGCCUUGAGCUUGGGGUCUUGGGGGUAUGCUCCCCCUAGGUCUAAGGUUCAAAUCCCCUUGAGUGCAAACAAUCUCUAGGGAUCAUUGGACUGAGGGAUUUUUUCAUUGAAUUACCUGAAGUGCACUUACGGAAGACUCCUUGUUGAGGGCCUAUGCAUCCCCGGGAUUAGUCGGAACGCUGUUUCCAGACACCCGGUACCAAUCAAAAAAAAAUU